GACGAACGCUGGCGGCGUGCUUAACACAUGCAAGUCGAACGGAAAGGCCCUGCUCUUGUGGGGUGCUCGAGUGGCGAACGGGUGAGUAACACGUGAGUAACCUGCCCUUGACUUUGGGAUAACUUCAGGAAACUGGGGCUAAUACCGGAUAGGAGCUCCUGCUGCAUGGUGGGGGUUGGAAAGUUUCGGCGGUUGGGGAUGGACUCGCGGCUUAUCAGCUUGUUGGUGGGGUAGUGGCGUACCAAGGCUUUGACGGGUAGCCGGCCUGGGAGGGUGACCGGGCACCUUGGGACUGCGAUAGGGCCCAGUCUCCUACGGGGGGCAGCGGGGGGGAGUAUGGCACAGUGGGCGGGCGCGUGAUGCGGCGACGCCGCGUGCGGGAUGCCGGCCUUCGGGUUGUGAACCGCUUUCGCCUGUGACGAAGCGUGAGUGACGGUAACGGGUGAAGAAGCCCCGGCUAACUACGUG
rnacentral:rRNA from 1 species